UACGUAGGGUCCGAGCGUUGUCCGGAGUUACUGGGCGUAAAGCGCGCGCAGGCGGCGGUAUAAGCAUGGCGUGAAAGCCCCAGGCUUAACGCUGGGAGGGUCGUCGUGGACUGUACCGCUUGAGGGCGAUAGGGGCUGGUGGAAUGCCUGGUGUAGUGGUGAAAUGCGUAGAGAUCAGGCGGAACACCCGUGGCGAAGGCGGCCAGCUGGGUCGUCCCUGACGCUGAGGCGCGAAGGCGUGGGGAGCGAACGGG
rnacentral:rRNA from 1 species